rnacentral:rRNA from 1 species
GACGAACGCUGGCGGCGUGCUUAACACAUGCAAGUCGAGCGGUAAGGCCCUUUCGGGGGUACGACGAGCGGCGAACGGGUGAGUAACACGUGGGUGACCUGCCUCUAGCUCUGGGAUAAGCCUGGGAAGCUGGGUCUAAUACCGGAUAUGACCUCGCGGUGCAUGUUGCGGGGUGGAAAGCCUUGUGCGGCUAGGGAUGGGCCCGCGGCCUAUCAGCUUGUUGGUGGGGUGANGGCCUACCAAGGCGACGACGGGUAGCCGGCCUGAGAGGGCGACCGGCCACACUGGGACUGAGACACGGCCCAGACUCCUACGGGAGGGCAGCAGUGGGGAAUCUUGCGCAAUGGGCGAAAGCCUGACGCAGCGACGCCGCGUGAGGGAUGACGGCCU